CACCGCGGUCAAACGAGGUAGUGCCCAAGCGGAUAACCAACGGCGUAAAGAGUGGUUAGGGAAACCCACAACUAAAGCUGAAUGCCCACAGAGCCGUGAUACGCAUCCGAUGGCAUGAAACCCCACCACGAAAGUGACUUUAACCCAACCCGAACCCACGACAGCUAGGACACAAA
rnacentral:rRNA from 1 species